AGCAGCCGCGGUAAUUCCAGCUCCAAUAGCGUAUAUUAAAGUUGUUGCAGUUAAAAGCUCGUAGUUGAAUUUCGGGGUUAGUAGGUUGGUCAUGCCUCUGGUAUGUACUGGUCUCACUGAUUCCUCCUUCCUGAUGAGCCGUAAUGCCAUUAAUUUGGUGUUGCGAGGAAUUUGGACUGUUACUUUAGAAAAAUUGAAGUGUUUAGAGCAAGCUAACGCUUGAAUACAUUAGCAUGGAAUAA
rnacentral:misc_RNA from 1 species